UUCCCUGACCAGGGAUCGAACCUAGGGCCCCAGCAGUGGAAGUGCAGAGUCCUAACCACUGGACCACCAGGGA
rnacentral:tRNA from 1 species